rnacentral:lncRNA from 1 species
UAAAAUUCUGAGUAUUUGAGGAGUGUGGGAAUGUUGUGGCUGAUUUUUAGGAGGAUGUUAAGGGAAUUUUGGUUAUUAAGGGAUUUGGGGAUUGAGAUUAGUGUUUUGUAGAGAUUUGGGUGGAGGAGUUUGGAUAGAACCGAAACUAGUAGUGGCAAUUUUGGCUACCCUAUUUCAUUCCCCAAUUUUCUAAUAGUUUUUCCAUUUCUGCUUUUGGUUUUUCUCUCCGUUUUCAUUUUUUUCUUUUUCUUUUUCUUUCAAAGCCGAAUGAUAAUUGUUUCUUUUCCUAAAUCUCAGUUGCUCCUAAUUUUUUGACAUUUUGAAUUUAU